rnacentral:rRNA from 1 species
AGUGAACGCUGGCGGUAGGCCUAACACAUGCAAGUCGAACGGCAGCACAGUAAGAGCUUGCUCUUACGGGUGGCGAGUGGCGGACGGGUGAGGAAUACAUCGGAAUCUACUUUUUCGUGGGGGAUAACGUAGGGAAACUUACGCUAAUACCGCAUACGACCUACGGGUGAAAGCAGGGGAUCUUCGGACCUUGCGCGAUUGAAUGAGCCGAUGUCGGAUUAGCUAGUUGGCGGGGUAAAGGCCCACCAAGGCGACGAUCCGUAGCUGGUCUGAGAGGAUGAUCAGCCACACUGGAACUGAGACACGGUCCAGACUCCUGCGGGAGGCAGCAGUGGGGAAUAUUGGACAAUGGGAGCAAGCCUGAGCCAGCCAUACCGCGUGGGUGAAGAAGGCCUUCGGGUUGUAAAGCCCUUUUGUUGGGAAAGAAAAGCAGCAGGUUAAUACCCCGCUGUUCUGACGGUACCCAAAGAAUAAGCACCGGCUAACUUCGU